UUUUUACGAGCAUGAUUGCCCAUUCGAACUUCAAAACUUCUUAUUUAGCGGGAAAAGGACACUCUCCGCCCAAUCUCCCAUCAAUGCGCCGUAGUUCGCCGCCGCCGACUACCGUAUCCACGAAAGAAGAAGCCACCGAGAGCCCUACAAUGAAAAGCUGUAGACAAGCGAAAUCAAAGGCAGAACCCAACACAUUAGGCGAUAUGGAGGACAUUAAUUUCAGCAAAAAGGAAAUUCCAGAAAUUAGGGCUUCUUUACUAAAAUGGUACGAUGAAAAUAAAAGAGACCUUCCUUGGAGAAGAAUAAGCAAAAAUGGUGAUAAUGAUGGUGUUAGUGUUGAAGAGAGAGAAAGGAUGGCGUACGCGGUUUGGGUGUCUGAAGUGAUGCUUCAGCAAACGAGGGUUCAGACUGUCAUUGAUUAUUACAAUCGGUGGAUGGAAAAAUGGCCUACUAUUCAUCACCUCGCGAAGGCUGAUAUUGAGGAGGUCAAUGAGUUGUGGGCAGGCUUGGGUUAUUAUAGACGGGCUCGAUUUUUGCUCGAGGGAGCCAAAAUGAUUGUUGAAGACAAAACUGAGUUCCCAAAAACAGUCUCUUCUCUUCGGAAGGUCAAAGGAAUUGGAGAUUACACUGCUGGCGCAAUCGCAUCUAUUGCAUUUAAUGAGACAGUGCCGGUGGUUGAUGGAAAUGUAAUCAGAGUGAUUGCCAGGCUAAAGGCUUUGUCUUCAAAUCCAAAGGACUCAAAAACAGUCAAGAAUUUUUGGAAACUAGCUGGCCGAUUACUUGAUCCUUCUAGGCCUGGUGAUUUUAAUCAGGCUCUCAUGGAGCUUGGUGCAACAGUAUGCACCCCUUCGGGCCCCAGCUGCGCCACAUGCCCAAUAUCACAUCAAUGUCAUGCACUAUUGCUGUCUACUAAGGACAAAUCAGUUCAAGUAACAGACUACCCAAUGAAGGUUGUCAAGGCCAAACAACGCCGUGAUUUUUCUGCUGUCAGUGUUGUUGAGAUUGUGGAGGGGGAUGUAUCUCAAUCUGACAGUAGGUUUCUUCUCAUAAAAAGGCCAGAUAAGGGGUUGCUUGCCGGACUCUGGGAAUUCCCAUCUGUUCUAUUGGAGGGAGAAACUGACUUGGCCUCACGGAGAGAGAGAAUUGAUAAUUUUUUGAAACAGUCGUUGGGUUUGGACAUUAGAAAGUCCUGUAAGAUAGUUUUAAGGGAAGAAGUGGGAGAAUAUGUCCAUGUCUUCAGUCACAUUCGUCUCAAGAUGUGCAUAGAAUUAUUGAUUUUGAAUCUUAAAGGAGGGAAAAAGUUUAUGCAAAGAAUGCAAGAGAGUGCAACAUUAACUUGGAAGUACGUUGAUGGCGAGGCCCUUUCAAGUUUGGGAUUGACAUCUGGUGUAAGGAAGGUUUGCACUAUGGUCGAGAAAUUCAAGCAGAAUAGAUCCAAUUCUGUCCCUGCAAAAAGAAGAAAGAGACAAAAAGAAAAAACUGCAAAUGAAAUGGAAUGCUAGGUCGUGAUAUUUGUCAAUGGAUUAAAUUUGCAGAUCAAUGCUUUAUAUUCAGGACUGCAUCAUUUUUAGGCUAAACUCUAGACUAUAUGCAUCGGCAUGCAGUCCACCUUGUUCUCUUCAGCACUUCCAUUUAUAUUUUUGUCAUCAAGGCUUGCUGUCGCAUCUUUGCAGGAUAUCUUAAAUUCCUACAGUACCGUUUUCAACUUCCACUUUUAGGGGAACUAAUUUAGAACCCAUUUCAUUCAGUGAAAAGUUAGUGGGAUAACAACAGCAACGAGGAUGUAGAAAUGCAAAAUGCUGCAUUUU